AAGCUUUCUUCUCAAAAUCAAACAAAAUUGCCUGUGGCCUUAAAUUGGGCUAUCGAAUGAAAGCAAUCCAAAAGAGGCUAGAUGACAUUGCUAAAACUAAGCAUGAUCUGCAGCUGAAUGACCGCCCUAUGGAGAAUCCAAUUGCAUAUAGGGAGCAGAGACAAACUUACUCAUUUGUGAGUAAAGAUGAAGUUAUUGGAAGAGAUGAGGAAAAGAAAUGUAUUAAAAGUUAUCUACUAGAUGACAAUGCAACAAAUAAUGUUUCUAUAAUUCCCAUAGUUGGCAUUGGAGGAUUAGGUAAGACUGCACUUGCUCAACUUGUCUACAAUGAUAAUGAUGUUCAAGGGCAUUUUGAGCUAAAAAUGUGGGUGCAUGUCUCGGAUGAAUUUGAUAUAAAGAAAAUAUCUAGGGAUAUCAUUGGGGAUGAAAAGAACGGUCAAAUGGAGCAAGUACAACAGCAACUUAGGAACAAAAUUGAAGGGAAAAAGUUUUUGCUUGUGUUAGAUGACGUGUGGAAUGAGGAUCAUGAGUUGUGGCUUAAAUUGAAGAGUAUGUUCAUGGAUGGAGGAAAAGGAAGUAUGAUAAUUGUUACAACUCGUAGUCAGACUGUGGCAAAAAUAACGGGCACACAUCCACCCCUUUUCCUAAAAGGUUUGGAUUCACAAAAAUCCCAGGAGCUAUUCUCUCGAGUGGCCUUCUGCGAGUUGAAAGAACAAAAUGAUUUGGAGUUGUUAGCUAUAGGAAUGGACAUUGUUAAGAAAUGUGCUGGCGUUCCCCUUGCCAUAAGAACUAUUGGCAGCCUUUUGUUUGCUCGAAAUUUGGGCCGGAGUGACUGGCUUUAUUUCAAGGAUGCCGAGUUUUCAAAGAUAGAUCAACACAAGGAUAAAAUCUUUGCAAUCCUUAAACUGAGUUAUGAUCAUCUUCCGUCGUUUCUAAAAAAGUGCUUUGCCUAUUGUUCACUGUUUCCAAAAGGUUUUAUGUUUGAAAAGAAGACACUGAUUCAGUUAUGGGUAGCUGAGGGGUUCAUUCAACAAUCAAAUGAUAUUAGAUGUGUAGAAGAUGUUGGUCAUGAGUACUUCAUGAGUUUGCUGUCAAUGUCUUUCUUUCAAGAUGUUUCUAUAGACGAUUGUGGUGGAAUAAGUACCUGUAAAAUGCAUGACAUUAUGCAUGAUCUAGCGCAACUAGUGACCGGGAAUGAAUAUGUCGUGGUUGAAGGAGAAGAACUAAACAUAGGAAACAGAACACGUUAUUUGUCAUCUCGUAGGGGUAUACAACUAUCACCAAUCUCAUCAUCUUCCUACAAGUUAAGGACAUUUCACGUGGUCAGUCCACAAAUGAAUGCAAGCAAUCGUUUUCUUCAGUCAGAUGUUUUUUCCUUCUCAGGCUUAAAGUUCUUGCGUGUGUUGACACUUUGUGGGUUGAAUAUUGAAGAAAUCCCAAAUAGUAUUGAAGAAAUGAAGCAUUUAAGAUAUAUUGAUCUAUCACGGAACAAUGUACUUAAAAAUCUUCCUCCGACCAUUACUAGCCUACUGAACUUGCAAACUCUAAAACUUUCUGAUUGUUCUAAGCUUGAAAUAUUGCCAGAAAAUCUCAAUAGAAGUCUCAGGCAUCUUGAGUUAAAUGGUUGCGAGAGUUUGACAUGUAUGCCAUGUGGGCUAGGACAGUUGACUGAUCUUCAAACACUAACACUUUUUGUACUGAACUCUGGAAGUACAAGUGUAAAUGAGUUGGGUGAGCUAAACAACCUGAGAGGGAGAUUAGAAUUAAAAGGGUUGAAUUUCCUGCGAAAUAAUGCUGAAAAGAUUGAAUCUGCAAAAGUACUUCUUGAGAAGUGACACCUUCAACAAUUGGAAUUGCGAUGGAAUCAUGUCGACGAGGAUCCUUUUGAGGAUGAUCUCUCAUCACCAAACAAAAAUUUGGUGGAAGAUGAGAUCAUUUUUCUAGGCCUGCAGCCACACCACCACUCACUUCGAAAACUAGUUAUAGAUGGGUUUUGUGGCAGCAGGUUACCAGACUGGAUGUGGAAUCUCUCAUCGCUCUUGACUCUUGAGUUCCACAAUUGCAAUAGUUUGACAUCACUGCCCGAAGAAAUGAGUAACCUUGUAUCUUUGCAGAAACUUUGCAUUUCUAACUGCUUAUCAUUAAACUGGAAUAAAAUCUCUAGCAUCCGAGAAGUUAAGAUCAUCAGGCGCGGAACCAGGUAUUGUUGUUUGCUAUUUGCACAAAUAAUAUUACUUUUAUGUUAUUUGCACAUGAUUUUUGUCUUGCAGCUCCUCACCCAAGAUGCCAAGACUAAAUCACACUCACACGUCUCAUAAAAGGACUUUAAAAUUCAAUGCUAUUAAUUUUCUCAUAAAAGGACUUUUAGUACUAUUAUUUUCUUUGAUAGUAUAAAUUUAAUAUUAAUAAUAAUAAUAAUUAAGAAAGCUAAAAUUUUGCACCCUAACGCAGGAUUCUGAAUACGCCACUGAAGUUCAUUCCUGGGAGACCAUCAUUACUCAAGUAUUUUACUUGAGUCAAAAUCUUUCCUCAAUCAUGGAGGUAUUUCUGAAUCCACUCUCUUAUAUCCAUCAACUUUUUAUGACCUUUGAUGAUGGUACAUUUUGCAAUUAUUGAGUUAGCUUUCUCUUGACCUUUAUGCCUAACUUUUGCUUUGAUGUUCUGCAUUUGUUCUGAUAUUCAAUUUUUCAUCACUUGGAUCAUUUUGGUUUUGAUAUUUGGCUGGACUAUACAUACAUCCGUUUAGAUAAAUGGAUUCCGUGAUUUUAUUUAUUAUAACAUCAUGUGUCUAUUUUCUGAUUUGGAAUUUAUUUUUUUGUUUCUCCAAAAACUAGUAGCUUUUAGGUUUGCAGUUAUUGUAGCUACUAUGUUGUUUUUUUGGAAGCUAUUUAAACCUGAAAAAACUAGUUUACCCAAUAUUCCUUUUUUAUAAUGUUACCUCGGUGACAUAGAAAAUGUGUAUCUGAUUAUUAGUAGCAAUAUUCCUUUAUUAUUGCUUUCUCUUUUUUGAUGAUUAAAUGUUGGCCAAUAACUACUGCAGGAACAAGGGAGUUGCUAAACUGUUCUAAGGAGCAAAAUGGUGGUCAAUAAAUUGGUAACACUGUCCAUGAUGACUUCACUGUUUUAUGAAAAUGUGUCCAUUGUUCCUUGGAAGAUCAUCAAUAAUUGGAAGAACUCUAUCUCUCUCCUACAUAUUAUGCACUUUAGAGUACCUCAUAUUUGGUCCCCUUUGGUUCUCUAUGUAUAUUUGUUUUUGUGAUUAAUAUGAUAUUGUAGUUGUUGCAAGAGAUUGGUUUUUCCUUUGGUGUCAACCUAGUUGGGAUCAUUGGUUUGGACAAUGAUGUAUUUUCAUUCCUUCAUUUUUAUAAACAUAAAUCUUACUGGGCUAUGUAAAUUUGGCAUAACUAAACCAGCGAAACAAACUAUCAUUAACAUGUUGUGAACGGAUUGCCAUCAUUGGAUUCAGAUUUAACAGCAUUCAUUUCUUACCAGGAACAAUUAAUAUAUGAAGAAGACACAUUGACCACUAAAACUAUUUGAAAAAUAGCAGCUCAUUUCCAGUGUAAUAGAAGUGGAUACACAUGGGUAGGAACUUUGUCUACAUAUAUAUACAUACAUUACUGUGUUGUAUACGAUACACAUAGAUUCAUGUGCGACGCACAAGUGCGCGGACAAGUUUAUAUAUUCAAAUUUUCAGGACUGUUUUGAGAGAAAAAGGUGUGACACAAACCUAGGGUUGAUCAAAGGGGAUUCUUAGGGUUUCUAAAGCUAGGAGUAAAGUCAUUUUGGGUCACAUUCUAGGGUUAAGAAACAAUCAAAGCCACAUGAAGAGAUUUGGGGUAAGGGCAGAAAUUAAGGUUUAUCAUCAUAAGUUAAUUUCAUGUGAUCUGGAUAUCUCUUUGGAAAGAAACUCUUUGAUAUUAAAUUGGAGAAUUUUUCAGCGUCUGAAGCAGAGUUAUGAAAUGGAGUGGUUUAGAACACAAACACAAAGAGAAAGAGAGAGACACAAAACAAUUUAUACUAGUUCAUCUCACUAACCGAUAGUAGUCUAGUCCCCUUGCACUUUCAAGAGAUUUUCACUAUAAUCACUAAAUAUUACUGAUGUAGUAUCAAAAGUAAGUAUUUUUGUUAUCGUCUCCACAUGGACUAGUGCGAUAUUCUAAGCCGUUCAACAAUCAGUAUCGUUCUGAGCUAAGGAUUCGAUAUUUUUUUGUUUCAUGAACUAUAAAACUACAGACUUGUAAGAGAUAUGAGAGUUAACAAGGAAAUGAUUAUGUUGGGAUUAAACUUCAUCAACCUACAUAUACGUAUUCUAGGAUUAGUGUUGCGGAUUCUAAUUAUCAAUUGAUAUUAUCACAUAUUGCUCAACAACAUCAUUCGUGUCCAAUUGAUGUCGUGAUUUCUAUUGAGUCGUCUAAUCGUCGAUUUCCCAAACUAUUAAACUUUCCAAUAGUCGAUUGUAUCGUUGUAUAGUUGACUUUUCAAACUAUACAAUGAUACGAAAGCUUUAAGUUCCAAUAUUCAAAGUGAUUAUCAAACCUAAGUUCCAUGUCUAGAACCUAAGCAUUGAUAGAAGAUUAUUCUCAACUAGAUUCAAAAUGUAUUUUUCAAUAACAAUUUAAAUCCAUAGGAUAGAAAUGAAAAGCAAGAAUAACAUCAAUAUCUUAAGAUAAUUUAGAAUCACACAACAUCCAAAUCAAAGGGAAUACAUACUAAUAGAGUUAACUACAUUUAAUCCCAACAAAAAGAGUUUAGCUACUCAUUGUCAUGGUAACCUUACAAGGAGAAAAGAAGAGAUGGAAUGGAAGCAAGCCAUGAUGUCUCAAUGAUCUUGUGAAUCCCUUCAAUCCUUGUGCCUCUUGCUCAUUGAAGUUCUCUUUGUGUUUUCCCUAUUUUCUCUCUUCCUAAAGUGGCUUCUGCAUAUAAGUUAAACAAUGAAUGUCGGUCUCCUGCAUAUAAGUUAAGCACAUUGAGGUAUCCUCACAUUUAGGCUAGUUCUAAGUGGUUCACAAUUAAACACGUUAUUGCGAAGAACCAAAUGAAGUAAAAUUUGUGCAAAGUACUUGCUUCAGAUUCAAGUAAACACCUAGAAAAGCAAGAAACUUAUACCUUGGCUUUGUGCAAUUCAAACAAUAUGUAUCAUCACCAUGCACCUGAUGUGGAUUUGCUGGCCUAAGCUCUUAUUAGAAAGAUAUGAGAAAACUUAGUUUGAUCUAAAUUAAAACCAUAAGGUUGCAGGAGCUUGUGGUAUACCAUAGUGCAAAAGGGUUACCUAUGACAUAGUCUUUAAUCAAACAAUGCAAAAGAAGUAUGUACUGCCUAGAAAUCAAAAAGUGACUGACCUGCUGCAACUCGCCUCGCGAGAAUAUGCUCGCUAUGGCGAGCAAUUUGGUGGUCAAUGCAGUUCAAAGGCAUGAAACACUUGCCAUGGCGAGUAUGUGCUCGCCUAGCGAGUCAUGACAGUUUCAGAAAAUGAAUUUUGACUUCUGCUUUUACUUUUGUGGGUGCAAUGUGAUCUAUACCUCUAAAUUGCAAAAAUAAAGCAUGAAAAACUUAAACAAGGUUGGGUUGCCUCCCAACAAGCUCUUGUUUAAUGUCGUUAGCUCGACACCUUUUUUGUUAGGGUGGCCGAAAUGAAACGGAAAACACAUCAUCUUUUGGAAUCAUGCGCUUUGGGAGGAAUUCCAUGAACUUUAGGUACAACUGAUGCGGAGUCCAUAUCCUCCCUAACUUUGGUUUGUUGAACAAGGCACAUAUCUCAUCUAUGACCCGAUCAAUCUCCACCUUGUUCACUUUCUUCCCCUUUCCUUCCAUUGAUUCUUCCUUGCUUAGUAUCCGUUCCUUUUUCUCUGUCCCCUGCAUCACUUCUUCAUUUUCAACAGUUUCGACCUCUUCAGUAUAUGGCCGUUCUUGAGGAAAUUCUUCUUUAUGUGAUGUGUCUAUUUCUUGUGCAGUUUCAAAUUCACCACAUCCUUCCAUUGUUGUGCCUUCCUCAGUUUGAUCAACUCCUUCCUCAACAAUCUCACUGAAUUCCUCAUUCUCAGUUGAAACAUCUUCGUGCUUUUCAUGAAGGAAUCAAUUGCUGAUUUGAACAUCUAUGUCUGAAAGUUGCAACUGGAUUUUCUCCAUUCGGCAUGAUAAAUUUUUCAAUCUUUGGUUAGUAUCUUGCAUGUUUAUCAUGGAUUUCUCCAUGAACAGAUUCAAAAUAUUUUUCAUCUUUGAUAUUUGUUCAUCUUCAGAAAGAUGUUGUUGAUACUGUUGAUAUGAUUCAUACUCGAAUGGAGUGUAGAAGUUGUUAUAACUAUGAUUAGCCAUGAUUUCGUUUAUGUGACAAACCUGAAACGGAAACAACUAACAAGAAACUUUUCUUUGUAUACCAAAGAAGGGUUAGUGCAAACAACUAUAUGUGCUCCCCGAUUUUCGGAUAUCAAACCAUUGAUUGAUUUGAAUCGUCAAUCUUUGAACUCUCAAUUUUUAUUCGUGGGAAGGGAAAAAAUGAGUAAAAACCCUUAUCGAGACUUUGGAUUCGGGGGUUGGUUUCGAAUAGGGAAGGUGUUAAGCACCCUAAACGACUUCGGUACUCCGAAGGAACCGCUUACCUAGAUUAUCUUGUGCUAAAUUCAUUUGGCUUACUUGAAAAAUUAUUAUCUAAAAUCUAAGUGAAAGAAUGGAGGGAGAAGAAAUAUGUUUUUGGUUUUUUUUAUUUGAUUUGGAAGGACAAGUCCUCUACCUACGUACCCUUUUUUGGGAAAGGGAUCAAAACCGACGUAGUUCCACUCAAAAAUUUCUUUGGUGGGUUAGGUUGAUUUUAAGAUUUUUGAAAAUGGGUUUUAAGAAGAGAAAGAGGCCUCACGGCAUGAGAUAAAAGAAAUGAGUGAGGUUGAUUGAUUUUAAAUUUUGAAAAUGAUUGAAGUUGAAUUAAAAUUGAUUGAGAGUUUAAUUAAGAAAAUAAAGGAAAAAUGUUAUUAAGAAAAUGAUUUUGAAGUUUUGCAUAUUUGAUUUUUUGAGAAAAUGAUUUUUCUAAACUAACGGUGAAAACUAACGUAACGUCGUAGAAAAACGAGCGGAAAACGGUAAAUAAAUUGUGGUAGUGUCGGUGCAAGUGUCGGUGCUUGUGUUACCUACAUUAUUACAUCAAUUCUUAAAUACAACCCUAAGGCCUUUAUGCCAAAAUAAAAUGCAAGAAAUAAAACUUACAUCAAUUUCCUAUUUAUACACGCUAAGUCAAUGACAAAAUAAAAUGAUGAGAAAAUUAAAUGUGCAUGCUAUGAUUCAAAACAAAGAUUAAAUCGUUAGUGAGCAUAAGAAAAUAUUGAGAUGAAAUGAGCAAAAAUUAAAAUGAACAUGUGGAAACAAAUAAUAGACAAAAAAUUAAGAGAUGACAUGUAAAACUAGCAAGUAACAAAUAAAAAUAUCAUAUAUAAAGACACAAUAAGCAAGAAUUAAGAAACAAGGAAGGAAUGAGCCAAGAAAAAAAAAAAAGUAAAAUGGAUUUUAAGACUUGGAGGUUAAAAUGAUGGAAAAACAUUUUUUAGAAUUUUGAAGUGUUAAAAUAUCAAGAAAAUGGAGUAAAAGUAUAAAAAAAAUGAAAAGACAAAUAAAAACAAAGUUUGGCUCAGCAGGAUUAAUUCUGGACCGUUGGAUUAAUCCAGAGGUCCAGAUCUAAAUCCCAAGAUCUCAUCACAGCCAUUGGAUCAACGAUCCAAGGGUUAAAAAACAGAAAAACACUUAAAGGAAAGGAGUGCAUCAUCGGCCGUUAGAUCUACGAUCUAACGGCCUAGCAUUGAGCGCACAUGAUGAGGACGUAAGGUGCUAACGCACCAGAUAGAACAUAAUAGGAGCAGCAUAUAAAAGGAAGAAAACAAUGGAAGAAAACAUAACAAACUAAACCACACUUCUCUCUAAAAAAAUUGCUCACACUGCUCUCUAAAAAACAGAGUUGCAGCGCCGCCGCCUACUUCUUCUUCUCCGGCGAGAAAAGUUUUCCGGCGCGGUGGCCGGUGGUGGCACCACCACGCCGGAAUUUCAAACUCCUCUUUUCUAAAAAACUUUUAACAGUUUUGAAAUUCCUUUUUCGUUCUAGACUCAAAUCCGGAUUCACAAUUUCAAAAACAGUUCACAACAGACCUAGAUCUAACAAUGAAGAUUCGACAAAAACUACCUUCGGUUUCAAAACGGAGAAGACUAGAUCUACUACUUCAGGCUCGGAUCUACUUUCUUUUUGCUAAUUCCCUCCGAUCCGGUUCAGGCGCAUUCCUUUUGUGUUGGAGGAGAUUCGGUUUCCUUCUUCUUCUUCAUGUGACUCGGUUCACUACUUCUUUGAAACCGAUCCAGUUUAUAUGCAUGCCUGAGAAUUCCUUAGAAAACAAAUGAAGGUUUGAGUUCAAUGAGUUGUGUAUGUGUUUACGCUUGAGGCUUGGUGAAAGGAUACGAAAAUGAUUGUUAAAAGAAUGGUUCACAUGAUUUUCGAAUUUGAAAUAUUCAUGAAGUUCAUGAUUUUUUUUAUGGUUUUUUUGAGAGUUUGAUCUGAAAAUGUGGAGAGAGGAUAUGAAUUUAGUGUUUGUUACGGAUCUGUGGCAGUUUUGUGAUGUUUGGAUGAUGAUGAUUUAUGUGUUAGUGUGGAGUGAUUCGAGGUUGAUUCUCGAAAUUUUGCUGGAGAAUAUUGUUCAUGUUGUUCUUGACAUGUUCAUCUAUUUUUCAUUGAUUUUUGAUGAUUUGAUCCGAAAAAGUAGAAAGAGAGAAGGGAUUAGGGUUUGUGAACUUUUGUGGCUGCUGAUUGAUGUGUCAGUGUAAUAAUUUCUGUGCAGCCCCCUCUCUCCAAUGAUUGGACAGUGUACUUAUAGUGACAAAAUAGGGUUGGCUCUGGUACACAUCAAAGACCAAAAUACCCCUGUUGGAGACUUGGGGAUAAAGACUUAACAAAUAAAAAUAAUAAGAAACAAAAAACAGAAAAAUAAAAAAUGACAAAUAAAAUAAAAAUAAAAUAUUAAUUAAUAAUAAUAAAAAAAAAAAGUCCCUUCGAAAUCUGACAUGAGGUACUUCAAAGUAUCCUCCCUGCCGAAAUUUUGUCUGAAAUGAUUAAAAGGACGCGAUUUUUAAAAUAUGAUUAAACCUUUUAAAAUGACUUGAUUAUUAUGACUAACAAGACUAUAAAAUGCGCUCAAAAAGUUAUAAAAAUGCAGAUAAAAGUUUUUAAAUGAUUAAAGAAGAAAAACACGAGUUUUAAAUGGUAAAAAAAACAAAUAGAAGAGAAUGUGGACUAUUUUAAAAUAUGGACAAAAAAGAUUUUAAAUGGUCCAAAUUUGGGGUAUGACACUAUACAAAAGAGAAAAUUAUAUACAAAUUAUAUACAAAUACUCAAAACAAUACAAAUUGUCACAAUGCUUCAAAUAUCGAAACGCCAGUCCCCUGCAGCGGCGCCAUUUUGAUGUAGUAUCAAAAGUAAGUAUUUUUGUUAUCAUCUCCACAGGAAUUGGUGCGAUAUUCUAAGCCGUUCAACAAUCGGUAUCGUUCUAAGCUACAGAUUCGACAUUGUUUUGUUUCAUGAACCAUAAAACUACAGACUUGUAAGAGAUAUGAGAGUUAACAGGGAAAUGAUUAUGUUGGGAUUAAACUUCAUCAACCUAGAUAUACGUAUUCUAGGAUUAGUGUUGCGGAUUCUAAUUAUCAAUUGAUAUUAUCAAAUAUUGCUCAACAACAUCAUUCGUGUCCAAAUGAUGUCGUGAUUUCUAUUGAGUCGUCUAAUCGUCGAUUUCCCAAACUAUUAAACUUUCCAAUAGUCGAUUGUAUCGUUGUAUAGUUGAUUUUUCAAAUUAUACAAUGAUACGAAAGCUUUAAGUUCCAAUAUUCAAAGUGAUUAUCAAACCUAAGUUCCAUGUCUAGAACCUAAGCAUUGAUAGAAGAUUAUUCUCAACUAGAUUCAAAAUGUAUUUUCAAUAACAAUUUAAAUCCAUAGGAUAGAAAUGAAAAGCAAGAAUAACAUCAAUAUCUUAAGAUAAUUUAGAAUCACAAAACAUCCAAAUCAAAGGGAAUACAUACUAAUAGAGUUAACUACAUUUAAUCCCAACAAAAAGAGUUUAGCUACUCAUUGUCAUGGUAACCUUACAAGGAGAAAAGAAGAGAUGGAAUGGAAGCAAGCCAUUAUGUCUCAAUGAUCUUGUGAAUCCUUUCAAUCCUUGUGCCCUUUGCUCAUUGAAGUUCUCUCUGUGUUUCCCCUGUUUUCUCUCUUCCUAAAGUGGCUUAUGUUCUGAUUAUUCUGUCUGAAAUGAAGGAAAUGAGCUUUUAUACAUAUGCUGAAAAAGUGACAUUUCGCCUGGCGAAGUUUGGCUCGCCAUGGCGACUUGAGCUUACAUUGCUAGUGGGUUUCUGCCACAUCACUUUGAUGAGAUAAAACCGCUUUUUUUUCGUCUGGCAGAAUUUCUGCUCUAUAUAGCGAAGUACUUUUGUCCUGUUUUUCCAACUCUAUGGAACUGCUCGCCAUUUGGCUCGCCCUUGUCUCGCCUGGCAAAAUAUUUCGCCUGGCAGGAUUGCUACUUGCCAUGGCGAAGUAGCUUUUGCCGCUUUUGUUCUUUUUGGUCCUUGCUUGAUGUUUUGGCACUCAAUUCCGGCACAAAUGGGUAGAGUAAGAUGAAUAAAGCAUAACAGGUCAAUAAUCACUUUUCUCUCGACUUUUCCCUGAAUAACUUGUGAAACAAGUAACAAACGUGCCGUAAAUAAUCAUUUGAAAUACUAUUUUCUGGUACUUAUCAAUUACAAUUGCUCAAGCACACAAGCAAGAGACUUUAAAUGCUCGAUCGUACAAGAAAGAGACUUCCAAUGCUCAAACACACUAGUAAGAGACUUCUACAAUCGAACUUAAUCAAAUAAAAGAUUUUAUGUGAUUUACACUUGAUGUACAAUCAGAGGUGUAAGCAAUACAUAACAUAAUGAACUCUUAAAACUUAAGAAUUUCUAUGAUAUAAAGUUUCUAAGAAAUUCUAAGUACAAAUGCGCUUUUGAUUUUGACAGAGUAAGGACAAUUUCAAAAUAUGCAAAGUCUUGUUAAUUUCUUCAAGUCUUCAGCUCCUUAUACAGAGGGAAAUCCAAGAGAUGUUGGAGAGGUGCCAAUGCAUUACUUUGAGUCCUUGAGAAACUUGAUCAUAGAUGUUGGAAUUUUUCUUGAUUUGGAUAAUGUCGUUUAAAAUUUUUUGAAAAUCCUUGGCAACAAACAGAAUCAUCUAUUUCACUCCAAUUGUCCUUGAAGUUCUUUGUCUAUUUCUGCACGUGAUCAAAAGAGGACAAAAUAUACUAUCUGAGUCUGAUAGUGAUCUCUUCAGGUUCUCUUCAAAUUUCAAAUGCUCUUAUAUAAGUUCUUUUAGUACCAAACUCUAUUUAAUACAUAGAAUUUCAAUUUAUGGUCUUGCACACUUGAACAUAUAUUAGCAUAUCUAGUUCUUCUUUUAAUACCUUGUUAUCAUCAAAACUUCGAAAACAUUGUGCAAAACCCAUUUUGCUUUAACAAAGAUGGUGGAGCGCAUCAGCACUAUAGUAGUAAUGAGGUGGUAGAAAGCUAUUAUCCCUACUUGUACAUCAUUCUGAGAUGUUAUGCAUGCGCUACACCACGUAGCCUAACGAGGUGGUCACAUUGAUAGACUUUGACUUGAACCAUUUAUUAAGCCUUUGAUUCAUGUUCUUAACGAGCUUUAAUAUUGGGUGAUCCAAAUGAUAAUUGGACCGGGUCUUUUAACCUUGUACCGUUAUAAUAUAAUGAAUAUACAAGUUACAAGCACUUAUAUAAGUGACUUUAUAAAUAGACUAUUACUUUUUUCACCCUAUCGAUUUCCCGUGCCCCUUUUUUUUACGAAAAAUGUCCAUGAGAUUUUCAGAUUCUAUAAUCCGAAAUGAGUUUUCCCCUUAUUUUAGGGUGGAAAAAUGAGUUUUUCACCAAUUCGGAUUUUGUAAUCCAAACACCCUAAAAAAUAUGGCACGUUCCUUGCUUUUUUAGCACUAUAGAAUUCCAACACCCCUUUUGUACCAAGAAUUCAAGGGAAAAGUAGUUUGGAUUAAUCCAAACCGUAUCAACACAAAUACUCAACCUGUUUGACAUGUUGUAUCAUUUUUUACUCUGUUUUUUUGGUUGAGUUUAAAAUCGAAAUUCACAACCAUUGAAAUGAGAGAGAUUUUGAUUGUUGCUUAUUUAUAUAAGCAUAUAUAUUUCGAAUUCUAUAAUCCAAACACAUGAGUAUACAAUCUAAAACCCCAUGAGUAUUUUUAUAAAAAAUAAAUCAAUAGGACAUCUGAGAAUGUAAUUAAUAGGUUGUAUAUAAAUGAGUUGGAUACGUUCGACUCGAUUGUUACAAAAUUGGGCAUGACCCAAAAAUUAGUGGGUCAACCCAACCCAUAUUUCAAUACUAUCAUUUAAAAAAUGUUUGAAAAUUGCUUUUCUCCCUUCAAGAAUGUCCUAAUAAUACAUGGGAAAUUCUAAAAUGCCACCAGCGGUAGUUAACUGAUGUUACGUUUUACCCCAAAAACCAGUACAUGCCUACUUCCCUAUUCACUCAUCACCUUACCUAAAAAAAUCCCCCAUUAAUUUUUUUUUGUUGAAACAUUGAUUCCAAAUCUUUGUUGACGGAUUGCUAGCUCGUUUCUACAGACAUUUGACAUCAAAAAUAGGUAUUGCAACGUUAAACUCGUUUCCAUUUGAUUGAGUUUCCAGUUUUUUUUUCCUGACAUGCAGCUUAGCGGUAGUUAACUACCGCUCAGGUUGAAGAACCAGCUGCAGUUAACUAACGCCUAGGACUUAGAAAAAAAAUUCAAAAAAAAGUGCUACUCCCUAUUUUAUUUUUUAUUUUUUUGGUUUGUUUAUGUUCUUAAAUUAUGUAAGAUACAUGUUAAUUAAUUAUUUUAGCAAUUAUAUGUUGUUUAUUUAUAGAUAUGGUUGAGAAUGCGGGUGAUCGAAAACCUAGUGUUGUCGAGAUCAAACCGCCGAAACAUGAAGUUUCCGUUAAGGUUGCAGUUUCCGUUAAAGUGGAGGCUACAAGUGUCAAUGCCGGUGUGUGGAAACUUCGUGACAACGAAGUGGACACGACUCAUUUCUUUUCGAGCCGAGAGACAUGGAAAGAUAAAGAUGAAUUGAUCGGUUGGGUACGUCGACAAGCAAAUAAAGCUGGAUUUACGAUUACCAUUAAAAGAUCUUGUGCAGUUAGCAAUCAUAUAUUGGAGUUGGUUUGUGAAAGUAGUGGCGAGCAGAAAGUAUCGAAGAAAAAAGUGAAGCAUGAAGCAACGAGAUCAAGAAAAUAUGAGUGUUUGUUCAAGGUGCGUGGAUAUGUCGUCAGGGAAGACAAUGCUUGGAAAUUGGCUAUUCUUUAUGGUGUUCACAACCACGAGAUGGUGCCGUUUUUAGCAGGGCACCUUCUUGCGGGAAGAUUAAUGGAGGACGACAAGAAAAUUAUACAUGACUUGACCAAUAGUUCGGUGAAACCAAAAAAUAUUUUGACAAAUUUGAAGAAGAAAAGACAAGAGUCUAUGACAAAUAUCAAGUAAGUCUACAAUGAACGUCAUAAAUUCAAAAAGGCAAAAAGGGGUGACUUAACGGAGAUGCAAUUUCUAAUCUCAAAGACUGUUUUGAUAAUGGAUUCCACGUAUAAAACCAACUUGUACAAGAUGCCACUGUUUUUAAUAGUCGGAGUCACCUCAACCUAUUUGACAUAUUAGGUUGGUUUUGCAUUUAUAACGUUGGAGAAGGAGAAUAACUUUAAUUGGGUUUUACAAAUGUUGCUUAAACUUCUUAAACCAAAUAGUGAUAUGCCUAAGGUGGUAGUGACUGAUUGGGACACGACUUUGGUGAAUGUCUAGCAAAUGUUCUUCCGAAUAGUAAUGCAAUACUUUGUUAUUUCCAUGUCGGGAAAUAUGUUAGAGCAAAAAUCAUCACCGAUUGUAAGUGAGACAAAAGGUUGUCAAAGAGGAUGGGCAAAAGAAGCUUGUCGGCGAGGUGAAGCAUAUUGAGAUAGUUGGAAUUGCAAGAGUUAUAUGCAAGUAAUCUAAUGGAAUUGCAAGAUGCUUGUAAGAAUUAUCCAAAGUUUCUUCCUUAUGUUCAAACUACCAUUUUGGAUACUGUGAAGGACAAAAUAGUGAGAGCAUGGACAGACUUUCUGUUACAUCUUGGGUGCAGGACCACAAAUAGAGUUGAAAGAGCACAUGGUAGAGUGAAGGAAUAUGUGUCCACUUCCAAGGGUGAUUUGGGUACUUGUUGGGAAAAAAUAGAUGAGAUGUUGGUAAUCCAGCUUGGGAAGAUACAAUCAUCGUUUGGUAGGAGCAUUACGGUCUUGGAACAUAGAUACAAAGAUGUCAAUUUCUACUCUGGGUUGGGGGGUAACAUGUCUAGAUAAGCCAUGAACUAUAUUUUUGUGGAAGAAGAGCGUGCUAGCAAAACCUUGUGCAUGAACAAGAAAACUUGUUGUUGUGGUUAAAGGACGUCGUAUGGCCUACCUUAUGCAUGCUUCAUUGCUAUAAAAAUCCGUCACAAAAAGCCUAUUCGAUUGGAUGAGAUACACCCGCAUUGACAUAAGUUAUAUAUGGGUGAAGAAAAAAGUAAUGAAAAAUUGUUUUCGAUCGCGGAGGAGUAGAGUGGUAUUCAAGAACAUCUCAAAAGAGUUCCGUACCAAAUGAAACUAAAAAUCAAAGAGGGGUUGCCAACGUUUCCAGAGACCACAAUGUUGUCACCACCUACAAAAAAGAUACCAACCAAAAGAGCAAAGAAGAAAAAUAAAAUCUACACUGAAAUCGACACGGAAAAAAUCUCCAAUCAACAUGUCCGGGAAACUAAGGUUAGAAUUAAACCUUUAUACUCAGUUGACCAAUUAAAUCGACGUCAAGCGACUAGUAUAAUUUCAAUUUUAGAGAAAUUAAGUGGAAAUAAUACAACGUGAUUUGAUUAUAAUUGUUAAUGUGACUAAUAUUUUUCAAAUAGAGGGAGUUGCGUACAACGCGAGGAAUGGUAAUUUAUUUUAUAAAUGGUUAGUAUAUGUCGCAAUCAACAAAGUCAAAGACUACUCUGAAAAAAAAAAGUCAAAGACAAUUUCCUCAAAAAAAAAAACAACAAAGUCAAAGACAAUUAAAAUUUGAAAGAUUAUAUGGAAUCUGAAAAUCCAAACUAAUUAGAUGUAGACAUGACAAAGCGACCCGCUCCGUUUAGACCAGCCAAAACGAGACAUGACAAAGUGAGCAGCACGAAAUGGACGAGUCAAUUUAAGUGACUAAGUCAAAAGUUUCACCCACCCCGCAUUGGGCGGAUUGACGAGAUGGUAGGCCGGUCUAUCAAACAAAAAAAGAAUUUACUUUUAUUUCAUUUUUGGGUUAACAACGUUUUACCUUUGUAAUAUAGGUCAUUUUCAGUUUCCCUCCGUAAGCAAAAAUUUUAUAUUUCAUCCUUAUAAUUUGAAGAUUAUUUGGUUUUAGAUCCUCAAGACAGUUGACUAAACAUUUAGGCUUAUGUUACGCAUUGAGUCAACAUUUUUUGAUUAUGCGACACGUUGACUAUGUAAUUAUUAAUUUUUUAAAAUUUAUUUUAAAUCAAAAAUAAAAAUAAAUUUAAAAAACAAGAAAAUUUAUUUUCGAAAAUAAUAAAAUUAGAUAAAAAAAUUCUAUAACUUAAUUUUCAAAAUAAAAAAAAUUAGAAAAUAUAUUUCAAAAAUUAGAAAAACAAAUUCGAAAUUAAAAAAAAAAAGUUCAAUUUUUUUUUUCCGAAAUAAAAAAGUUUUUCUAACUUAUCAUCAUAUUUUUCAUGAAAAUAUAUCUUCAAGGUUUUUUAUAUUUUUAACAAUUUGAUUAUUGUAAAAAAUAGGCUAUGUUAUUUAUAAAAAUAAAAUUGGUAGCAAAUCAAUUCGUGGUAAAACAAAAUUUUAUGAUGUAAAAUUGGAUUAUAACAAGUUAUUUGGUCGCUUCACUUUAAAUUAUGUCUAACCCAUUGAUAAAAUAAAAAUAAAAAUUGUAAGUUGAUGAGUUGACGGACUGGCCCGUCCCAUCCUUGCCCCGCCCUACUUUUUCAACAGUCAAGCAGGACGAGCCAACUAGAAGCGGCGAAUUCAAAACUCCAACACAACCCGCCAAAAAUAGUAGGCUAAAUGGGCCGGUUUGGCAGGUUGGACCCGUUUUGCCUUCCGUGUGGCAAUUGCUUUAUUUCCAGUCCAUUCAAAAUCGGGAUGCUUAGUGAGUUAGCAGACUCAAAACGACAAUGAUCGAUGAGUCAGACUCAGAACAAUGAUGAUCUAUGAGUUAGACUGAGAACAAUUUUCUUUUUCUAAUUUUUUUCCAUUAGGUCAUGUAUUUUUUAUUUAAGGCUAAAAUAUGGUUUUAGUCCCUGCAAAUAUGCCUCGUUUUGGUUUUAGUCCCUGUAAAAAAAAAUUGUUUUUGGUCCCUGCAAAGUUUUUGUUUUUUAAAAUAGUCCCUCAGGUACUAUUUUAAAAAACAAAAAAAUUUGCAGGGACCUUUUUAAAAAAUAAAAUAUUUUGCUGGGACCAAAAACUACAAAAUCGGUUCAGUCAUCAUGUGCCACGUAUGCAAAUCAUCACAAAAAUGGGGUCAGGGACUAUUUUAAAAAACAAAAAAUUUUGCAGGGACCAAAAACAAUUGUUUUUUUACAGGGACUAAAACCAAAACGAGACAUAUUUGCAGGGAGUAAAACCAUAUUUUAGCCUUAAAUAAAUACACAAUAUUUUAGGUCCCAAUGUUUCUUAGUUUUGAGGCCCAUCCUCAAUACUUUCCCUUCUCCCUCCAAUUCAACCAAACUCUCGUCCACCUAUUAGGUCAUGUAUUUUUAAAUUGAAACACAAUAUUUUAACAGUAAGCUAUGACAUAAUCAAUGUGUUGCUAUUAGACUCUGAAUCAGUUUGUCAUCUUUUGAAGGAAUGUCACUAUCAGAUUCAAGGUAGUAGAGUUUGUCUUCUUCUGACCACGUGCAGGAAAAAAAGGAAUUUAAGGACAACGAAAAUGUAACGGAUCAUAUUAUUAAGAGCAAAGAAAUUUCGAAUGACUACAAAACGACAUUAACCAUUCGAGGCAACAAAACUCAAGGUGAAAAAAUCUUACAAACUCUUAGAUAUAAUCUUACAAACUUUCAGAUCUAGAAUUUCUUAAGCUUCAGAAGUCAUCUGAACCUUAAUUGCUUACACCUUUGAUUGUACGUGAUGUGUGAAGGUGAAAAAAACACAAGGCGGGAUUGAAUUGGUUGGGUUUUUUCUGAUUUAGAGAGAGAGAGAGAGAGAGAGAGAGAGAGAGAGAGGGGGGGAGGGAGGGAGGUCACAAAGCAUUUAUACUGGUUCCUCCUACAAUCUAAGAGUAGUCCAGUUCCCCUACACUUUCAAGGGACUUCCAAAUGUUCAAGCACACAAGCAAGUGACUUCCAAAUGCUCAGUCACAACUGAAAGAGACUUCUAAGAGUUUACAAAUAAACAAAGUUGUUCUCACACUUGAUAUACAAUCAGAGGUGUAAACAAUUAAAUACAUAUAAGACUUUAUGAAAUUAUAAUUUCUAACAUAUGAACUUAGUAAGAAAUUCUUAAGUGUUCUAUGUGCUUUUGAAUUUAACAGAGUAAGGGCACAAUUUAAAAUAGCAGAGUCAUGUUAUUAUUCUUCAAGUCUUCAACUCCUUAUAUAGGCAAGGAUUUGAGAGACGAUGCCAGCGCAUUGAGAGUCGUUGAGAAGUUUCAAAUCAAGGACGUUAGGUCUUUGCCUGAUAAGGAUAAUGUCGUGGAUUAUUCAUUUGAAAUUCCUUUUGCUGCAACUAGAAUUAUCUGUUCGUUCUCUUUGUACUUGAAGUUCUUUGUUUUUUUACACGUGGUCAGAGGAAGACAAACUGUACUUUCAGAGUCUUGAUAAAGACUGCUACAUAAGAGGACAAAUUUGACGAGGAUUCUAGGUCCCUAAGGGUCUUCUAUUCUUCAGAGUUUGGAGGUUUUCAGAGUCUGAUGUAGAUCUUUAACUUCUGAGUGUUUUCCUUUCUAUUGAUCCAAGGUGUUGACUUCUGGUUGACAUUUCUUUAGAUCUUCUACCAUAGUCUUUUGGCUUCUCUUUGUGCUUCUGAUGCUCUUAUACAUGUUCAGACCUUGUUAAAUUUUAAUAUAUGGUCCUGCACACUUGAACAUAUAUUAACAUAUCCAGUUGUUUUUCAAUACUUUGUUAUCAUCAAUACUUCAAAGGAUUUGUGUUUGAUUUUAAUAUGUUGCUUAAUUAUAUGUUUCAGACUCUGAAAAUGACUAUGUUCUGUUUUUACAAACACUUAAAAAUAGAUUUGAAAAAAGCAAUAUAAUUCAACCCCUUUUCUUAUGUUUUUCUCACUUUUAAAUUUAGAGUUUUUCUAUUUACACCCCAUGUUUUUCUGGUUACACCUAAAUUUUCUUAAUUUUUUUUAUAAUACCAAAAUUGCCCUUUAUAUAAAUUUUCUUAAAACCCUAAUUUUAUUCAUUGUCAGUGAGUUUCACCCUCUUUUACCCCACAAAGCGAUUGAUCAAACAAUUUGAUGUUCAAUAUCAAUCUCCAUGAAAAUUAAAGAGUGAAUCAAAAUAUUUUUCAUCCAUACUCAAUUGGAUAUAAGUAAGUGAAUUUCUUCUUCUAUUUGCUAGUUUCAAUUCUUUUCCUUCAACUGCAAUGAUGCACUGUACGAUUACGGUUUUAAUUUACAUUGGCAAGGUUAACUUAAAUUCAGUUUAAGUAGGUUCAUGUAAACUAAGUUUACAUGAACCUACUUAAACUGAGUUUACAUAAACCUACUUAAAUUGAGUUAACAUGAACUUACUUAAACUGAGUUUACAUGAACCUACUUAAACUGAGUUUACAUGAACCUACUUAAACUGAGUUUAGAAAAUCGCAGAACUCGCAGAACAAGGAAAACACAAAAUCAGAACUGAGAACCCAUAACAAGAAAAACACAAUCGAUUGAAGAACAACACUUGCUAACCUGAUUUGCUUCGAAUUUUCUUUGAAAUCAUGAAUGGACGUGAGAAAGUAUGGUUUUGAAAAUCUUCGCAGAACACAAUGAAUCGAUUGGAGAAUUAUGGUUUUGGAAGAAAGGUUUUGGGGUGUAACCAAAAAAGAAGGAAUAGGCUUUUUGAAAAUCAAAUUUUAUGAAAGGGUAAUCUUGUCAUUUUAGGGUGCAACCAUGAUUAACUAGGGUGCAAGUAGAAAAACUCUUAAAUUUAUCCUUUGGAUAAAUAAAACGUUAAUUUAUUCUAGUUUUUCAAUGUGAACAUCAAUUACUUAAAGAAUGAACAUUAAUUGUUUUAUUUUUGGUCAAGAAAAAGAACUUUAAUUUAUUCUUGCAUUUCAAUGUGAACAUCAAUUACUUAACAAUAGAUUAUAUGUCCAAUUGACCAAUUAAAUCGCCAUCACGUUAUAUUUUCAGAGAAAUUAAGUUGGAAAGAUACGACAUGAUUUGAUCAUAAUUGUUAAUGUCACUGACUUCUAGAACUGUUAAUGUCACUAAUAUUUUUAAAACUGAGGGAGUUGCGUACAAAAGCGUGAGAGGGUAAUUCUUUAUGAUUCAUUUCCAGUCCAUUCAAAAUAGGAUUCUAAACACAAGCUUAGAAUUUGACUCAUCUGAUUUUUCACUUUUCAAUACAAAGCACUAAACUACAGCUUUUCAUCCUUUUUCUAGAUUCAGAUUUCGAAACCAGGUAAUCUCUCGUUCUCUUGUAUUCUUAUGAUAAUUAGAAGAUUCAACUUGCAACCUGUAUUUACUAUUUAGAAUCAAAAUUUUGCUUGCUCAUUUCCAACACACAUACUGCAAUCAAAAUUUCUUUAUGCAAUUCUAAAUUAGGUUACUUAAAUAGUUUUUAUUCUUGUUCGAAUCUGCAAAAUAGUACAAAUCCUGUUCUUUUUAUGUGUCGGUUUAAAAAACUUUUUUAUCCCCUAAGUUAAUAUUCCAUCCAGUCUUAAAUGUUAGGAAAAAAAAAAAAACCACACAUAUUAAGAAAGUGGACUAACAAUAUUGAAGUCAUCAUAAAACAUUAUAACUUUCCAAUUUUGCCUUUAUCUUCGGAUUUUAUAUUUAAGUCAUGAACGUGACUUUUGAACUCAACAUGGGAAUGUGAAACAGAUUGGAAAUAAAUAAAUGAGGGUAAAAUUGAAAUAGUGACAUUUAAUAGGAUGAUUUAAUUAAACUUUUCAUUACAUUUGAGUCCACCAAUUUUUUUAUUUUGUUUCUUACAUUCGAGAUCGGAGGGAGUAGUUGUGUCCGGUUCGGUCUGAUAUUUGGAUCGGUUGUGCAGUUGAAUCGGUCAGAUCCGGCGUGACUCGCUAAAACUCGGAAUAAAUUGGUGGCUUGGCCGGUUUAGCGAACCGGACCAGGUCAAUACACAACUUGAUUUCAAUUGAUAAAAAAAACCAGAAAGUGAGAAAAGUGAGAAAGAUUAUCGUACAGAAGAGAAGAUCUCACGAUGGAAGGGAGGAAGAUGUGAGAAGGAAAGAACAAGGAUUGAAGAUCAAAUAUGCUAUGUGUUUUUUUAUUUGAGAUCUACUUUUUAGAUGAAUGCUGCAGUACAAGUCACUAAAGUGUAGUACAAUACAUAUCUGUAGUACAAUAGACUUGUGUAUAUAUUACUAAUUAUACUCUCAUUCACAAAUCAAUAGAAAAUCCAUUCAUUUCUCUUAUUUCAUAUUAGGUUUCAAUUUGCUAACUGCAUUGACUGAGUGAUUUUUAUUCCAUUAAUUAAAAAUAGGAGACCAUUUAAAAAAUUGAUCACUUACGUGACCCCAAGAUUAGUUUUACUCAUGCUUUUGUUAACUUCAUUUGCCAAAGGAUGGAAGCCCUUGCUGUUACAAUCUUGGAAAAGUUGAGCUCUGCAGCUUACAAAGAGCUCGGAAUCAUUUGGAAUUUCAAAGAGGAUAUGGAACGAAUGAAGAACACAGUCUCCAUGAUAAAAGCCGUGCUUCUCGAUGCAGAGUCCAAGGCCAAUAAUCAUCAAGUUAGUAAUUGGUUGGAGAAGCUGAAAGAUGUACUUUAUGAUGCAGAUGAUUUACUAGAUGAUUUUUCCAUUGAAGCUUUGAGAAGAAAAGUAAUGGCUGGAAACAACAGAGUAAGACGUACAAAAGCUUUCUUCUCAAAAUCAAACAAAAUUGCCCAUGGCCUUAAAUUGGGCCGUCGAAUGAAAGCAAUCCAAAAGAGGCUAGAUGACAUUGCUAACAAUAAGCAUGCACUGCAACUGAAUGACCGCCCUAUGGAGAAUCCAAUUGUAUAUAGGGAACAGAGACAAACUUACUCUUUCGUAAGUACAGAUGAAGUUAUUGGAAGAAAUGAGGAAAAGAAAUGUAUUAAAAGUUAUCUACUAGAUGACAAUGCAACAAAUAAUGUUU
rnacentral:lncRNA from 1 species